UCCCUGGUGGUCCAGUGGCUAAGACUUUGCGUUCCCAAUGCAAAGAGCCUGGGUUAGAUCCCUGGUCAGAGAA
rfam:TPA: Bos taurus chromosome 5, whole genome shotgun sequence.